rnacentral:rRNA from 1 species
UACGGAGGGGGCGAGCGUUGUCCGAAGUUACUGGGCGUAAAGCGCGCGCAGGCGGUUUUGUAAGCCAGAUGUGAAAUCCCCGGGCUUAACCUGGGAAUGGCAUUUGGGACUGCAAGGCUUGAGUGCGGCAGAGGAGACUGGAAUUCCUGGUGUAGCAGUGAAAUGCGUAGAUAUCAGGAGGAACACCGAUGGCGAAGGCAGGUCUCUGGGCUGACACUGACGCUCAUGCACGAAAGCGUGGGGAGCAAACAGG